rnacentral:tRNA from 1 species
GCCUGGGUGGCUCAGUUGGUUAAGCGCCCGACUUCGGCUGGGGUCUUGAUCUCAUAGUUCGUGGGUUCGAGCCCCAUGUCAGGCU